UACGUAGGGGGCAAGCGUUGUCCGGAUUUAUUGGGCGUAAAGAGCGUGUAGGCGGCUAGGUAGGUCCGUUGUGAAAACUCGAGGCUCAACCUCGAGACGUCGAUGGAAACCAUCUAGCUAGAGUCCGGAAGAGGAGAGUGGAAUUCCUGGUGUAGCGGUGAAAUGCGCAGAUAUCAGGAAGAACACCCGUGGCGAAGGCGGCUCUCUGGUGCAUGACUGACGCUGAGACGCGAAAGCGUGGGGAGCGAACAGG
rnacentral:rRNA from 1 species